GCAAUGGUGUCUUUAGACACCACCACCUCUUUCAUAUCCUCUAUU
rfam:Picea glauca, whole genome shotgun sequence.